rnacentral:rRNA from 1 species
GACGAACGCUGGCGGCGUGCUUAACACAUGCAAGUCGAACGGUAAGGCCCUUCGGGGUACACGAGUGGCGAACGGGUGAGUAACACGUGGGUGAUCUGCCCCGCACUUCGGGAUAAGCCUGGGGAACUGGGUCUAAUACCGGAUAGGACCACUGCCUGCAUGGGUGGUGGUGGAAAGCUUUUGCGGUGUGGGAUGGGCCCGCGGCCUAUCAGCUUGUUGGUGGGGUGAUGGCCUACCAAGGCGACGACGGGUAGCCGGCCUGAGAGGGUGACCGGCCACACUGGGACUGAGAUACGGCCCAGACUCCUACGGGAGGCAGCAGUGGGGAAUAUUGCACAAUGGGCGCAAGCCUGAUGCAGCGACGCCGCGUGGGGGAUGACGGCCUUCGGGUUGUAAACCUCUUUCAGCACCGACGAAGCGCAAGUGACGGUAGGUGCAGAAGAAGGACCGGCCAACUACGUGCCAGCCGCCGCGGUAA